GUAACACGUGGGCAACCUGCCCCAGAGCGGGGGACAACAGUCCGAAAGGACUGCUAAUACCGCAUGUGGACUGCUCCGGCAUCGGAGUUGUUCUAAAGAUUUAUCACUCUGGGAUGGGCCCGCGGCCUAUCAGCUAGUUGGUGUGGGUAACGGCCUACCAAGGCUUCGACGGGUAGCUGGUCUGAGAGGACGAUCAGCCGGAUUGGGACUGAGAUACGGCCAACUCCUACGGGGGGCAGCAAUUAGGAAUCUUGCGCAAUGGGCGAAAGCCUGACGCAGCGACGUCGCGUGGAGGAUGAAAUCUUUCGGGAUGUAAACUCCUUUUACCAGGGAAGAAGAAUGUGACGGUACCUGGUGAAUAAGCCCCGGUAACUACGUGCCAGCAGCCGCGGUAAUACGUAGGGGGCGAGCGUUGUCCGAAGUUACUGGGCGUAAAGCGCGCGUAGGCGGGUCCUUAGUGAGGGGUGAAAGGUCGGGCUUAACCCGGACACUGCUUUCAUACUGGGGACCUUGAGUGCGGGAAGAGG
rnacentral:rRNA from 1 species